GCAAGUGUGGCAUGGUGGUUUGAGUGCUGGACUGUAACUCUGGAGACCAGGGUUUAAUUCCCUGCUCUGCU